AGCUAGUUGGUGAGGUAAUGGCUCACCAAGGCGACGACGGGUAGCCGGCCUGAGAGGGUGACCGGCCACACUGGGACUGAGACACGGCCCAGACUCCUACGGGAGGCAGCAGUGGGGAAUAUUGCACAAUGGGCGCAAGCCUGAUGCAGCAACGCCGCGUGAGGGACGACGGCCUUCGGGUUGUAAACCUCUUUUAGUAGGGAAGAAGCGAAAGUGACGGUACCUGCAGAAAAAGCACCGGUUAACUACGUGCCAGCAGCCGCGGUAAUACGUAGGGUGCAAGCGUUAUCCGGAAUUAUUGGGCGUAAAGAGCUCGUAGGCGGUUUGUCGCGUCUGCUGUGAAAACUGGAGGCUCAACCUCCAGCCUGCAGUGGGUACGGGCAGACUAGAGUGCGGUAGGGGAGAUUGGAAUUCCUGGUGUAGCGGUGGAAUGCGCAGAUAUCAGGAGGAACACCGAUGGCGAAGGCAGAUCUCUGGGCCGUAACUGACGCUGAGGAGCGAAAGCAUGGGGAGCGAACAGGAUUAGAUACCCUGGUAGUCCAUGCCGUAAACGUUGGGAACUAGAUGUAGGGGCCAUUCCACGGCUUCUGUGUCGCAGCUAACGCAUUAAGUUCCCCGCCUGGGGAGUACGGCCGCAAGGCUAAAACUCAAAGGAAUUGACGGGGGCCCGCACAAGCGGCGGAGCAUGCGGAUUAAUUCGAUGCAACGCGAAGAACCUUACCAAGGCUUGACAUAUACCGGAAAAGUUCAGAAAUGUUCUCCCCGCAAGGCCGGUAUACAGGUGGUGCAUGGUUGUCGUCAGCUCGUGUCGUGAGAUGUUGGGUUAAGUCCCGCAACGAGCGCAACCCUCGUUCUAUGUUGCCAGCACGUAAUGGUGGGAACUCAUAGGAGACUGCCGGGGUCAACUAGGAGGAAGGUGGGGAUGACGUCAAAUCAUCAUGCCCCUUAUGUCUUGGGCUUCACGCAUGCUACAAUGGCCGGUACAAAGGGCUGCAAUACCGCAAGGUGGAGCGAAUCCCAAAAAGCCGGUCUCAGUUCGGAUUGAGGUCUGCAACUCGACCUCAUGAAGUCGGAGUCGCUAGUAAUCGCAGAUCAGCAACGCUGCGGUGAAUACGUUCCCGGGCCUUGUACACACCGCCCGUCAAGUCAUGAAAGUCGGUAACACCCGAAGCCAGUGGCCCAACCGCAAGGAGGGAGCUGUCGAAGGUGGGAUCGGUGAUUAGGACCAAGUCGUAACAAGGUAACCGUACUAGUACGAUAUCGUU
rnacentral:rRNA from 1 species